GGGGGAGCUCGUGCCGGCAGACGGUUUGGCUCGCGCCGUCGGCGGUUAGCGCCUGAGCAAAGGAGUCUUUGUGUGAUCUGUCAGUGAAGAUUCCACAAUGCUGCGGUGGAUGUUUGUAGUUCCACUAAGAAUUCGAGAAUCCGUCUUAAUCGCAGCAGAACUGGACACAGCUUCCACGACUGAAUAAUCAACAGAACUACAGCUUCAACAAGGAAUCAUUUAAAUUGUGAAGGAAAACCAGCAAAAAGUGUAUCGGAUGCUCCAAAUCUGCCAUUGGACUUGCUCAGUGUGGAGGGCCUGAUUCUCACUUUGCUUUUGGCCAUGGAAAUCCUGCAGCCCUUAUCGACUCUCUUCACUUGCAGAAUAUACAUCACUGCAAAGCGCUUCGGGAUGUCCUGACUCGGAACUGUUCCAAAGGAGGCUGCGGAGAACCAGAGGCACGACCUUCCACAUGCUUCUGUAUGAUUUCAACAAGGUUCUUGAUGCGCAGUGGAAGGUUCCAUGGAUCUUCUUGAAUGCUGGCUUGAAUAUUAUUCCGGCAUCUUACAGUGGUUUCUUCCUUCUGUUUAAAUUCUAGGAAAAAUGGAGUUUGUUAGCCACUGAGGAAAUGCUACAGAGCUGAGAGUGGCUUAUCAUUUACAGUGUGUAUACAGUUGAAAGCAGAGAUACCUUAUAAACAACAAUGAUUUUGAAUGAAAAAGGUUCUUAAAUAUAUCUAAUAUGGAAGGAAAGACAGACUACUCCUAUAAUCUCACGAUCAGCAGUCUCCUAGCACAGUUGUCAGUGGUAUGGACUACAAGUUAUGGACGUGGGUGACCACAUGAGCAGUGAGGGGAGCUCUGCACCACUCACACAGCACAGAAUUCCCUGCUGUUCUCUCUGCCUUUAAUAAUGUGCACACGGCUGCUCUGGGUACAUCCAGAGACUCUGGCUGUGCAGAAUUGGAUCAACCUUUUGGCUGCAGCCGUCACAUCCUGAUGAAAAGUUAUGAAAUAUUCUCCUUUCACCUGAUGGAAGCUUAUUAUUUAAUUACAGAGUAGAAGAUCUUUUCUCCAUGACUUAGCUAUGGAGCUAAGCCAACUACCCCCACUGUUAGUGGUAAAAUGCAUAAGCAGACCGAGAAACACAGAAAGACUGUGCCAAUAACUACUCAUGAACAGGACAGAAAGCGUUCAAAUCCCCAUCCAUCACUGAAUGGAUGGAUGUUUGUGGCAGCUAUUAAACAACCACUUGAGGCCAUGAUUCCAGCUGAAUGUAAGCAGGGUGCCUCUGUUCCUUAGCGUGAUGAAGGUGGGAUCAUCACUUAAUGAAAAGACUCUUGCAGUGUACUUAAUCUAGUUUUAAUAAAUGAGACUCUGUUUAAGAAAAUAAAAUAAAGGAAGUGUC